AUGGACAGACGCCUACUAUGCACCAGCACGCUGCGGCGCUCCAGGGACGGAGAGGAGCACACUCUCGCAGAGCUCACCAGCGAGUGGGUGGGAGAGGAGUGCGUACAAACAGGACAGCUCGGACAAGCGCCAGGACUCAGCCUGUUGCCGCAGCUCCUGGGAGUGCCUGCUGAGGGCCAAGUACUGGGGUACAAGGAGGCAAGAGUGGCGGCAGAGGAGCCCAGGGACUGCGUGGGAGUCAAAUCACAGAAGAGCGGCGGCUUCCCCCAGAGCGGCCUCACGUGCAUCCGACUCGUUCAUCCUCAUAACCCGCCAGCUGAGUCCUCAGAGGGCAAAUCGUCUCAGAAUUACCAGGGAUGCGUGGCCGGCUACACUUAGGGGAAGCUUCCCAAACCCAGGCCUCCCUGCAGGGUGAAGGAGCCACAUUCGCUCAAACACUGGAGCCUCAUUCAUUCAUUCAUUCAUUCAUUCAACAAUCACUGAGACUGUAUGCGCCACCCUGUGCUGGCCCUGCGGAUGUGGAAAUUCAUCCAAUUCAGUCCCAGAACUCAAGGAGCUCGGAGUCUGGUGGGAAGAUGGGUGUGUAAACGUGAAUCCACGGAGGUGGUGAGAUCUUUGACAGGGGAUGGCGGAAUGCUGCAGAAGCACAAAGGGAAGGUGGGAGGGCUUCCUGGAGGAGGCCUGCUUUGGCUGGGUCUUUGGGCUGCUCUAGACCCUGGAAGCCCUUAGAGCCCGACCCCCUGCCUGGUGCUGCACCCAUUUUACAGAGGAGAGCACUGAGGUCCAGAUAGGGUGAAUGACUUGCCAGGGUCAUAAAAGGAAAGGCAGCUUCGUAUCCGACCUGAAUAAAUAAUGUAUUCUGGAUUUUAAUUAUUUAAAAAGCUUCCAUUUCACUGAGUCUCAUCAAAAAUAGAAACUCUCUUCCUUUCACUCUAGAUUUCUCUUGAAGGUGGCAGGUGGGCGCAGAGGCGGGGCCCGGGCCUCUGAAGUGUCCUGCUUGUGGCAGCAGCUGUGAUGCAGAGGCCACGAGCCCCCAGCCUCUGCCGGAGAAAUGACAAGUGACCGUCAUCCUGGAGCCUCCCCCUUGCCUUAGGCCACUCCAUACCUGGUCCUCAGAUGGGUGGUCAGCGCCCCGCUGUUCCCGCAGGACUUGGGUGGUCCCCCAAGUCCACCAGCCUCUCUUUCCUCCUGGGCACACGGGGGUCAUGACAGCACCUCUUGGAGAUGUUGAAAGAAUCUUGCGUUGGGUGUCUGUGGGGGGAGGGGGUCCCAUCUCUGUCCCCAGACCUGACACACCGUAGACCCCCAACCUAUGGACAUUUCCAUCCUUCAAGGACAGGCCUUAGAGAAAGGAAGAAAACCAAAUCGCCAAGAGGUGUGAGAAGAAAGGGCUGGGGAGGGAAAGCCAGGACACACCGGCCUACUGUUGGCCAUUGGGGUGAUCUUGUGGCUUUGAAAAUCCAGAUCAGUUCCCCAAAACUCAGCCAGUCAGGGGCUCCCGCUCGCCACUGUGCUCUGUAGCAUUCCCGCCCCUUGUUCCUCGGUAUCUUACCAAGCCCACAUCACACAGAUCAGCUUCUUUUCCAUGGGAAGCAGCCAACGACAGCUCCAACCCAGCACCAGACAGAAUCUCACUGAGGCUUCCAAGCGCCACCACCCCCAUCUGUCUUCCUUGUCGUGUGCCCCUGGGGCUUAGCUCUGAACACAGACAUCACCCAAAAAGGGUAGGCCACCACAAGUCAAGGUCUCACUUCCAAACCAGAGCACACUCAACUCCAGUCCACCUCUCCCUGCUUCGCUGUCCCCAGACCCCAUCUGUAACAUUUGCAUCUCUGUUGGAGAAGGUCGAAGGCCAACCACCAAACCCCAAGCCCCCUCCAGCUCCUGCCCCCGCCACACUGCCCUUGACAUUCCUCCCUCACGCUGGGACCCUCCGCUGGGCUCUGUGAUGAACAAGCACUGCAAAACUCUGGGGGGCACUGCAGCUCUCCAGGUGAUUUCUAUUGAAUAAACACUGCCAGGUCCCAAACCGUCUGGGAGGUAAAUACUAUUACUAAGUAACGGGCAAGUGGUCAUGAGCUUUGGCGUGGCAGAAGCAGGGCAGAAAAGAAGGUCAGCGUCUCUGCCUCCAAUUCCCGCCCUUCCCCUCUCUCCAGCCUUCUUUAUCUCAUUUGAUCUGGACAGCUGUGGAGAGCUACCACUCCCCACUUUACAGGCUAGGGAGCCUCAAAAAGCAAAGCGACUUGCCCAGAGCUCUGGAACAAAUCCCUCAACCUCCACAGGGGCUGCAUGAAUGUCGCUGGUGGCUUAAACCACCAAAACGUGUUGUCUCCCAGUUCUGGAGGCCAGAAGUCCAACAGCAACGUGCAAGCAGGGUUGGUUCCUGCUGGGGCUGUAAGGGAGACUGCUCCAGGCCUCUCCCUCCGUGUCUGGCGGUUUGCUGGCCAUCUUCCACGUUCCUUGGCUUCUAGAUGCAUCUCCCAGUCUCUGCCUUCGUGCUCACAUGGCCUGUGUCUGUGUCCAAAUGUCCUAUAAAAAUAAGGACACUGGUCAUCGUGGGUUAGGGCCCACCCUACUCCAGAGUGGCCUCAUCUUCACAAAUCACAUCUGCAAUGACCCUGUUUCCAAAUACAGUCACAUUCUGAGUUCCGUGGGGUUAAUGUCAACGUGGGAAUUGGGAGACACAAUUCAGCCGUAAGGGAGGCUCAGGGGUCAUCCCCGGAGGUCAUCCCCAAAGGCAGGGUGUGCUCAUCCCAUCCUGACCCACAGAAGCCACUGUGCUCAUCCCAUCCCUACCCGCAGAAGCCACUGCAGAGGCAACUGGCCUGUCCCCAAGAAAGCUUCUCGAGGACCCCGACUUCUACCAAAAGGCUGAGGAGCACUUGGAGCGGGAAGGAAGGAGCUCAUGUGGAGGCCGUCCCACUUCCCCCGGGAGUCCCACUUCCAUCCUGAGAGCCUGGACCUGGACUGAGGGCAGAGUCUGCAGUUCCAGUCCCCGAGAUCCACUCUCCUGCCUGUGACUCCGGUCCCAGGGCUCAUCUCUGUGGUCCUUAAAGGCAGUGGCUGCAGCAGCAGGAGUGGGGAUGGCAGAAGGACGUCUACACAGGACUGCUUGGGAUCCCAGUUCCCACGUGUUAGCUGUGUAUCUUCAGAUAACUGACUUUUCCCUUCUGAACUUGAGUUUUCUCCUCCAGGAAAAAUGAGGCUUUGCAGGGUUGCUGUGGGGACAGCGCCUGAGC
ensembl:lncRNA